rnacentral:rRNA from 1 species
UUUCCGUAGGUGAACCUGCGGAAGGAUCAUUAAAGAAAUUUAAUAAUUUUGAAAAUGGAUUUUUUUGUUUUGGCAAGAGCAUGAGAGCUUUUACUGGGCAAGAAGACAAGAGAUGGAGAGUCCAGCCGGGCCUGCGCUUAAGUGCGCGGUCUUGCUAGGCUUGUAAGUUUCUUUCUUGCUAUUCCAAACGGUGAGAGAUUUCUGUGCUUUUGUUAUAGGACAAUUAAAACCGUUUCAAUACAACACACUGUGGAGUUUUCAUAUCUUUGCAACUUUUUCUUUGGGCAUUCGAGCAAUCGGGGCCCAGAGGUAACAAACACAAACAAUUUUAUUUAUUCAUUAAAUUUUUGUCAAAAACAAGAAUUUUCGUAACUGGAAAUUUUAAAAUAUUAAAAACUUUCAACAACGGAUCUCUUGGUUCUCGCAUCGAUGAAGAACGCAGCGAAAUGCGAUACGUAAUGUGAAUUGCAGAAUUCCGUGAAUCAUCGAAUCUUUGAACGCACAUUGCGCCCCUUGGUAUUCCAGGGGGCAUGCCUGUUUGAGCGUCAUUUCCUUCUCAAACAUUCUGUUUGGUAGUGAGUGAUACUCUUUGGAGUUAACUUGAAAUUGCUGGCCUUUUCAUUGGAUGUUUUUUUUCCAAAGAGAGGUUUCUCUGCGUGCUUGAGGUAUAAUGCAAGUACGGUCGUUUUAGGUUUUACCAACUGCGGCUAAUCUUUUUUAUACUGAGCGUAUUGGAACGUUAUCGAUAAGAAGAGAGCGUCUAGGCGAACAAUGUUCUUAAAGUUUGACCUCAAAUCAGGUAGGAGUACCCGCUGAACUUAA